rnacentral:sRNA from 1 species
GCGUUAUAGCUUACUAAGAUGUUCGGCC